rnacentral:misc_RNA from 1 species
UACGGAGGGUGCGAGCGUUAAUCGGAAUUACUGGGCGUAAAGCGCGCGUAGGCGGAUUGGAAAGUUGGGGGUGAAAUCCCAGGGCUCAACCCCGGAACUGCCCUUGAUACUGGUAGUCUGGAGUUCUGGAGAGGUGAGUGGAAUUCCGAGUGUAGAGGUGAAAUUCGUAGAUAUUCGGAGGAACACCAGUGGCGAAGGCGGCUCACUGGCCAGAUACUGACGCUGAGGCGCGAAAGCGUGGGGAGCAAACAGG